GAUGAACGCUGGCGGCGUGCUUAACACAUGCAAGUCGAACGGAAAGGCCCAAGCUUGCUUGGGUACUCGAGUGGCGAACGGGUGAGUAACACGUGGGUGAUCUGCCCUGCACUUCGGGAUAAGCCUGGGAAGCUGGGUCUAAUACCGGAUAGGACGAUGGUUUGGAUGCCAUUGUGGAAAGUUUUUUCGGUGUGGGAUGAGCUCGCGGCCUAUCAGCUUGUUGGUGGGGUAAUGGCCUACCAAGGCGUCGACGGGUAGCCGGCCUGAGAGGGUGUACGGCCACAUUGGGACUGAGAUACGGCCCAGACUCCUACGGGAGGCAGCAGUGGGGAAUAUUGCACAAUGGGCGCAAGCCUGAUGCAGCGACGCCGCGUGGGGGAUGACGGCCUUCGGGUUGUAAACUCCUUUCGCUAGGGACUAAGCGUUUUUGUGACGGUACCUGGAGAAGAAGCACCGGCUAACUACGUG
rnacentral:rRNA from 1 species